rnacentral:rRNA from 1 species
UACAGAGGGUGCGAGCGUUGUUCGGAAUUAUUGGGCGUAAAGCGCGUGUAGGCGGCCAACUAAGUCGGGUGUGAAAGCCCUCAGCUCAACUGAGGAAGUGCGCCCGAGACUGGAUGGCUUGAGUGCUGGAGAGGGUGGCGGAAUUCCCCAAGUAGAGGUGAAAUCGUAGAGAUGGGGAGGAACACCGGAGGCGAAAGGCGGCCACCUGGGACGGUAACUGACGCUGAGACGCGAAAAGCGUGGGGGAGCAAACAGG